UCUUACCCUAAGAAUAAGACACACAAAGACCCUAACCCAUCUUCUUCAGGGAGAGAACACAAGAACAAACCCUAGCUGAACCCUAGGAAAGACCACCCUCCAGCCGCCGCCACUAAUCAGUUGACCUACUAGCGGACCCCCUGAAAACCCAAGCUUCUUUUCAACCUCUUAAACAAGACCUGAAAAUUCACGACCUAGCCAGUGACUCUACUCGCCGGAAAACACUCACUCACGACCACCCACACCCAAGAAACCAUUGGAGCCGCUGCUGCUUCUUUGAACGCACACAGCAGCUGCCGAUAUCUUCACUUCUAUGUCGGACGAGUUCAGAACUAACAGUGUCGUCAUCGUCGUGGCAGUAACGUCAUCGACUCCGGUAAGUUUUGAGGUCUGGAUUUGAGUCCGUUCGAGGUCAGAGUCCGAGGUUCGCCGGCGCGUGCGAUUCAGGUUCUAGUCAUCGUCAUAGGCCAUAGCAAUUUUGCAUCCUAACCAAACUUGUAACGUUGGAGGUUCUCGUUAAUUGAAAAGCUCAGUUUAAGUCGAGCUUCAUCUUCAUUUCAGCAUUUAUUUGGUUAUUGUUGCUGCUAUCUUCAACUUAGCCUUAAAGCGGUUUUGAGACGUGAUCGUGUUUGUCCGCCGGAACAGUUGCAGAUCUGACCGGUCUCCAUUUUUACGCCUCAAACGGAGUUGAUUUGAGUUGCUGAAAUUUAAUCCAUAGUCCACGCAUUGAGGUAUGGAUUCUUUUACCACAGCUCGAGCAUGAUUGAUACCCCAGGACCACUGCAUUCAGGAGCUGCUUAAGGAGCCUUUUUAUAUUCUGAGUCUGUUUUCAUGUUUUCUCUUACUUGUCUUGUACAGUAGUUUUCAGUCAUUUAGUUGGUGUUAGAGUGGUCGUAGUAUAGUUUAGUUUGCCGGGUCUCUCAUUAUCGUACCUCUUGUUGUGUAUUUGAAAAACCAAAAAAAAAAAUUAUAUAUGAAAAACUCAAAAAGAUUUUUAUUUUUA